rnacentral:RNase_P_RNA from 1 species
CGACCGGGUCGGACAGUCGCGCGGGAACGGCGAAAGCUGCCCUGUGAGGAAAGUCCGGGCUCCAUAGGGCAAGGAUAACGGGUAACGCCCGCCGGGGGUGACCCCAGGACAAGUGCAACAGAGAGAUACCGCCUUAUUUUUUUGAGGUAAGGGUGAAAAGGCGCGGUAAGAGCGCACCCGCUUCAUGGGAACAUCGAAGCGCUGUAAACUCUAUCCGGAGCAACACCGCAGAGGAGGCAAGGCUUGCCCGGCUGUCUCCGAGAAGGUGGCUGGAACCUGUGAGCAAUUGCAGGUCUAGAUAGAUGACUGUCAGAACAGAACCCGGCUUACGGACCCGCAUCGCGCA